rnacentral:tRNA from 1 species
GUGCUGGUAGCUUAAAGGUAGAGCACCCGUCUUCAUCAGGUUCACGCUUCCUUAAAACGGGUGAUGCACGUUCGAUUCGUGUUCGGCACA